rnacentral:misc_RNA from 1 species
GUCUCCUUUUCCGUAACCAUUUUUUCUCUUUCUCUUUCAAGAUUUAUUCUUUCUCUUUCCAUUAUGGGUUUCCCAGCUAAUGGUUCAUCACAAGAAAAGCCAUACAAGUUCUUGAUCUAUGGCCGAACUGGUUGGAUUGGUGGUUUACUCGGUAAGCUCUGUGAAGCUCAAGGAAUAGAAUACGAAUAUGGGUCGGGUCGAUUAGAGAAUAGGAGCUCGUUAGAGUCCGACCUCGCAACCGUCAACCCGACCCAUGUGUUCAACGCCGCCGGAGUGACCGGCCGGCCAAAUGUUGACUGGUGUGAAUCCCAUAAGGUGGAGACCAUCAGAGCUAAUGUGGUCGGUACCCUGACGCUUGCUGAUGUUUGUAGAGAGAAAGGAUUGAUCCUUAUCAACUAUGCUACUGGGUGUAUCUUUGAAUACGAUUCGGGUCAUAAAUUAGGGUCGGGUAUCGGAUUCAAGGAAGAGGAUACUCCGAAUUUCAUCGGAUCUUUCUAUUCAAAGACUAAAGCUAUGGUGGAGGAACUACUGAAAAACUACGACAACGUCUGUACACUACGAGUCAGAAUGCCCAUCUCUGCAGACUUGACCAACCCUCGAAAUUUCAUCACCAAGAUCACUCGAUACGCGAGGGUAGUAAACAUCCCAAACUCAAUGACAAUCUUGGAUGAACUUCUCCCUAUUUCCAUCGAGAUGGCAAAGAGAAACCUCACU